UGAAUAAUAAUUAAUUUUCUGUUAAUAGGAAGAUAACUGAUUAGCAUGAACAUCUAUUGAUUAUUAACCUCAUAUGCUAUGUGAUCACUAUGCCAUAUGUCUAGGAUUAAUGAAUAUGAAACUAGAAUUAAUAAGAAAAUUGAGUAAAUUCAUGUGCAAGCUUGUGAGAUGACCAUCAAACAAGAAGUUAAUUAAAAGAAUAAAUUAGUUAACUAUUGCAAGUCUAACUUAACCCGAAUAAUUAAUCUAGUAAAUUUAAUUAAAUUAGACAAUUGGCCACUGUUUAAGUUAGUUUAUUUGCUAAGGAUUAGUGUAGUGAAUGCGAAUCUAAUUACUUGAAUCGGUAACCAACAAAAGAAUGAUUCCAUUGCACCAUUACCUUGAAAUCAACAAUAAGAUAAAUUGAGUUGAACUAAACAGAAGUUCCUUCCCAAUUAUUGAAUCUAGUUAAUUCUUUGUUUUCUUGUUAGUAAUAGUUAACAAGUUUCUAGUCUUGUAAAACUAGAGAAAACCCUACUUAAUUAAUUUAGAUUAAAUUAGUUUUUAGUUUUAAUUUGUUGUUCCCUGUGUUCGAUACCCUACUUAUUCAACUAUAUCACAAUUGAUAGGUUCACUGCCUUUUGUGUGUUAUUUGAUAAUUAAAAGUAGGUUUAAAACUAAGUGAGUUUGCACAUAUUGAUAGGUUCACUGCCUUUUGUGUGUUAUCUGCGGAUGGAUUCGAAAAGUUGUAAUUCUAGAUUAUGUAUGCUUGGGUUUCAUAAUCAUUAUUCCUAAGCAUAUGAUUUAGUAUUCACAUAGACAUAUGAGGUUAACAACUAAGAGAUGUUUAUGCAGCUUAAUUGUCUUCCAAUUAAGAGAAAAUAAUUGUGAUUAAUGCAUAUGGUUCUUUAAAUAACUUAAUUUAAUAAAUCACCAAUAAACAAUUAACCAAAAACUAAGAAUUAAACCAUAGGAGUUCCUUGGUAUUCCCCAAACAAAAACAAAAACGUGUUUAGCUCAUAGUUGCAGUAAAAACAAACACAAAAACAAGUCUAGCUAGAUUAAACAUACUCAAUUCCUAAAGCUAAGUGGAAUGAUUAACCUAGUUGCUUCAAUUCUUCAAAAGGUUGAAGAUUAGAAUUCCUCAGCGUCUUCAAGGGUUCUCAAUCAUAGUUGGAUCUUCAAAAAACGCCAGAAAAGUAGUCCCAUUGGAUAAAGGGUCGGUUUUUAUAAAUAUCUCAAAACAGGGUGUACUCGGCGAGUAGCAGACCCAACUCGCCGAGUAGACUUAUUGUUAUUCGUCUUGAAUCAGGAGUCGUGGCUAUCUUAUGGAAUAUUCAGCUGGACUCGCCGAGUAGGCUCGUGUACUCGCCGAGUAGGUAAGUUUUUGUCCCUCAAUCUUCUUUCUUUGGUCUCUAAUUUCUUUCCCUUGUUCCCUUUCACUCCAAAGCAUGUCUUUUGGAUUGAAAACAAAAUUUAAACAAUAUUAAGUACCUUUUUUUCCAUAUUAUUCACAUAAUUAGUUAAAAAUGUAUGCUAAAUAAUUAACUAAUUAUGCACAUAUCAAAAUACCCCACACUUGACUUUUGCUUGCCCCCAAGCAAAACUGAAUUUUAAACAUAUAGAAUUACAUAUGACAAUUCCAAUCUACCCCAGCCAUUAUGCCAAGACCGCAACACAUGCGUUUGUCUCUAAAAUUGUCCUAAGUACCCCCAUACUCCAAAUACUCACAAUCCUCAUAAACAUUCGCCCACUCACCCCGAACUAUGCUCAUUUUAUGCAACCCUCCGAAUCCAUCCGCAGAAAACCUCUUACCCUCAAGGUAUUUUUAAUUGAGCAACCUAAGCAUACAUAAUCUAGAAUUACAACUUUUCGAUACCACUAUGGAGCUUUCUUGAAUUCUUUACUUCCUUGACAUUUGAUCUUUAAUUUCUUUGAAUUCACCACCUUGUUGUUUGAUUUUUGGUAUCUUCAACUUUUUGAAUCUUCGGAAUUUUCGAUCUUCUAAUUUCAUACUUAACUUUGAUGCUCCAAAAAUUCUUCAACAUUUUCUUGUAAUUCUCUCUUUUUUUUAACAUCCAACUCACUUUUUUCACUCAAAACCCUACAUGCUUAAGCAGGGGCGCUCAACUUCAACCUUUAUUGGUUAGCGAUAAUAAUUUUCCUGGAUACAUUUCAGGUUUAGGCUACUAUACAUAUUGCAUCCCUCAGGCUGAGCAGGGUCGUGUUUUUGUCCCAUGAUUUCACUGGAAUAAGGAAGCCACAAAUGCACUAGAACGUAUAUAGGCUCAACUAAACAUUUGGGUUUUCACGCAAUCAUCAACACAAUUCUAAUAUGGAAUCCUAAUUUGCUCUUACCAAAAUUUUCUAAUUUAAAUCCCUAAGUAAUAUUUUUGGUAUGUAACAAUUUUUAAAAUUAGCCUAUAUUAAGAUUCUAAAUUUUCUAAUAUGUGACCAACCCCCUACCCCACACUUAUUUUAUGCAAUGCCCUCAUUGCAUACUAUGCAAAAAAUAAAAAUGCAAAUAUAUAGAGGGAAUUGGAACAAACUCCCCUGGGGUAGCAGUCGAUAGGUUGAUACUCUCUUCUUUAGCUCCUUCUUCUCUUGACUUUAGCCAUGGGAACAGCUCAUCCAUGGCUUGGGUGUCAUGUCUCGUGUGGUUGACAGCUCGAAGAUCUCACGGAACAAGCUUCUUAGAAAAUCUCCAGUGACAAUUCUUGACAAAAAGUGGACAGAUACAGCAGUAAAAAUGCUCAAAGCAGUUGUGGGAAUCGAAAAUUGGCAGUCUACUCGGCGAGUAGUGUCGUGGACUCGGCGAGUAUCUCUUGACUUGGAACGAUAUCGUGUAAUAUCUCAGGUACUCGCCGAGUAGAGUUUGUGCACUCGGCGAGUAGGCGCUGUUUUGCCAAAACUGGUCCAGCUGACGUUCCUUUCGACUCUGGUUUUGAAACUGGAAAUGCAAACUGACCCUCACUCUAAUUCCUUCAGCAGCAACACUCUCCAUUACUCUCGACUCUCACGGACUCAAUCCUAAGGACAAGACUCCAUACUUUUCUUGAAAAUCUCUCAUUCCUUUCUUGCCCCUCACAAAUUAGUAUGCCUCCUAAUCUUCUAUCCCUGGAAAAAAAAAAGACAACUAAAAGUGACAAUAAUAAUCAACCCCACAAAAAGAAACAUCAUCCAAGUGUUUAACAUUUGUUCAAAACAUAACAUCAUAAAAACAUAAAAAAACUUCAUUCUUCAUCUUCCAUGUCGGCUCCUCCCGCGCCACUUCCUCCUUCUCCAUCUCUUCUCCUCAUUCGCUCGUCCCAACUUAUAAUAUAUGGAUAUCCGGGACCGGGUCUUGGGGCAAUAUUCAUCUGUUGGAAAAGGUAUUCAAAAGAUUUGUUAUUAUAAUUCACCCCUUGUCCAAUGUCACUCAAGUAACGUCGGUACUCCAAUUGGUUCCAUCCAUCAUUGUCCUCCUCCACCGGAAUAACUGGUGGGUCUUCCCGCACCCGCUCGCUACGUUGUCGGACCCGCCUUCCCGGCUCCUCAGGAAUUGUCGGCUCGUCUUCAUGCGAAAUGGUGAAUGAGUCGCCAAAUUUCUCAACUAUCCGUGCCCUCCGAUAUAGUGCAGUGUUGAAUGGUGGAGGGUGGAUAACCGUGAGUGCCCGAGCUUGUUGCAUAUCUAGGAUCCCAUACGACUUUGCUAGCCUAGUCACAAAAUGCCUCCAUUGAUUUUUGAGUUGACUUUUUCUUUAACCGCCCCUUCAGCGAGGAAUUUGGCAAUGCAAUAUGGGAGGUUGCAAAAAGCGUCGGGAGUAAUAAUACUCCAUAAAUAGAAGAUGUCGAGGGUUGGGACCUUGUCCCAAUCCUUCCUCAUGUUGAUGGUGCUAGCCACAAAACGGUGGAUGAGGCGGUGGAUUGGUGAGCGAAUGUGGCCUUCUUGGGCGGUGGAAGGGAUAUACACCCGAUUAGCGAUCGUGUUCCACCAUGUAGAGGCCACCACUGCCUCUAGGAGUUCCUUAUAGCAAUUUUCCAGGAAAGUUUCAGAAUCUUCAGACAGCAUCGUGCUCUGAUCAUAAAUACCCAAUCUCCAUGAAAAAUCAGCAAUGUUGCAGUGUCGCAGAUCCCCGCCCAAAGAAAAAGAAAUUGUGUUGUGGUUGUAAUACUCACUACCACCUCGGAAUGAGAUGGUAGCAAAGAAUUCCCAACACAGCUCGGCGUAUACAGGCUCUUGAAUCUUGAAUAGUUGUAACCAACCAUCACAUGUGAUGGUGGUAUACCCCAGAUUGCAUUCCUUCACCAAGUAAGGCGUAAGCUCCUCCUCCAAUCCUACAUUUCCUAGCCACCCCCAGUCAACUGCAUUUGGUAGAUGGAUUUCCUUUUGUCUGAGCGCUUCCAGCCUGUUUUUGGCCAUUGUUUGUGAUGACUUGGAAGUGAGUUGUUAAAAAGAAAGCCAUGGAAUAUCACUUUGGCUUCCCCCACGAGAAGACUGCCCCCUUCUGGCCAUUGUUCUUGCAUAAGAAUAUCAAAAACACACAAACAAACAAUACCCAAUAAUUAAAAACAAAGGAAUCUGGGCUGAAUAGUCAUCUACUUGCCGAGUAGGAUGAACAGCGGGACUGUCUGGUGCCGGACCUAUGUAUACUGUCCAAAAAUCCAAAUUUUUCAUAGGGGUUUGUUGUAAUAACCUAUCUAACCAUAAAUCAUAAAGAAAUUCAUCCUAACAUUACCUAAUUUAUGGCUAAUUUGAAACCCUAGAAUUUGAGGAAACCCCCAAAUCCGAAAUCAAGCAAAAUCGGGGCAAAUCUAUGAUAAAGAUCGAACCUUUAAUGAGUUUAUAGUGUAAAGAUGUUACCUUUUUCUUUGAAUGAUGAAGAAUGAGUGGAAAAUUGGAGAGAAUCGGACGAAAUCGCUAAAAUCGCCGAGGCUGUUUAAGAGUUUGAUGUGCACGGCGAGUAUGGGGAUGAAAUGGGUGAAAACCCUCUUUUUUACAGUUUUAUAUUUCAACCGUGUAAAUUGGCUACUCGCCGAGUACAAAUGUCGUUACAUGUUUUAUCGGUCUACUCGGGUAGGUACUCGCCGAGUAUACGUGCCUACUCGGCGAGUAAACCUUGCAGUUUGAAAAAAUUAUGAUAAUUUUGAAAAAUUAAUGUAUUUUCUCAUGUUUUUAAGCCAUCCACCCCACACUCUAGGCAUUGCUUGUCCUCAAGCAGUUAUGUUCUUAAAAAUAGAUGAAGAAAAGAAAAAAUAAUGAAAAUAAAGAAAAGGAAAGAAAAUGCAAACUUGAAACUCGAGUUGCCUCCCGAGAAGUGCUUCUUUUUAGGGAGUCAUUAGUAGGACUCCUCCCCUUCUACGUGGUUGCAACCCCUUCCAGCAGCAGCAACUCUUCCAUUCCUUCAUUCCGGGGGACUCCUUCUUCAUACUUUUUGACCCUAUGACCAUUGACCUUGAAAGGUGUGCCAUAUCUUGAUAAUAGCUCUAUAGCACCAUGUGGAAACACCGUCUUUACUAGAAAAGGACCAUCCCAUCUUGACUUGAGUUUUCCCGAGAAAAGAUUUAGUCGUGAAUUGAAAAGCAACACUUUUUCGCCUUCAUGAAUUUGUUUAUCUUUAAUCCGUUUGUCAUGCCACAUCUUGGUCUUCUCUUUAUAAAGCCAUGAACUAGAGUAUGCAUCAUUCCUUAGCUCCUCAAGAUCAUUCAUUUGCAUUAACCGGUUGCUCUUUAGUUCCUCCAUGUUGAAGUUACACCUCUUCAAAGCCCAAAACGCCUUGUGCUCUAGCUCCACCGGUAAAUGGCAUUGCUUUCCAUAAACUAACCUAUAUGGUGUAGUACCAAUAGGUGUUUUGAAAGCUGUACGAAUAUCCCAAAGUGCAUCAUCUAGCUUAUCCGACCAUUCCUUGCGGUUGCUCCCCACCGAUUUCUCCAAAAUUCGCUUUAAGGCUCGAUUUGUUACUUCGGUUUGUCCACUAGUUUGUGGAUGGUAUGAUGUGGAAAACUUAUGGGUUACCCCAUAUUUAUUUAACACUUUUUCCAAUUGGUCAUUGGCAAAAUGUGUGCCUCGGUCACUUAUAAGGGCUUUCGGGACUCCAAAUCGUGAAAAUAAUUUCUUUAAAAACCGCACCACCACCCGACCGUCAUUUGUUGGUAAUGCUUGUGCCUCCGCCCAUUUGGAUACAAAAUCCACCGCCACUAGUAUGUAUUUGUUCCCUUUAGACAUGGGAAAUGGUCCCAUGAAGUCAAUUCCCCACACAUCAAACACCUCGCACGCUUGGAUACUAUGUUGUGGCCUUUCAUUUCGAGAUGAAAUGUUUCCCACUCUUUGACAAGCAUCACAUUCUUUGACAAAUUGGGUUGCAUCUUUAAAAAUUGUGGGCCAAUAAAACCCAAUGUCAAAGAUCUUCUUUGCCGUGUAGUGUGCUCCAUGAUGUCCACCCGUGGGCCCGCUAUGACAAUGCUCUAAUAUUUUCCGGCUUUCCUUCCCGAAUACGCAUCUUCGUAUGAUCCCAUCCGCACAGCUCCGGAAGAGGUAUGGCUCAUCCCAAAAGUAAUAUUUUAAUUCAGAAAAGAAUUUCUUCUUUUGUUGACUGCUAAAAUCUUUCGGGAUGUAUUUUGUAGCUAAAUAAUUAGCUAUGUCUGCGAACCAUGGCUCUUCUCCCACGGUCACCAUAAUGUACUCGUCCGGGAAGUCGUCUCCAUCUUUAUCUUCUUGUAAUUGCGGGUUCUCCAGCCUUGACAAGUGGUCAGCUGCUACAUUCUUCAUUCCUUUCUUGUCUCGUAUCUCUAUGUCGAACUCUUGAAGAAGUAGCACCCAUCAUAUCAGUCUUGGCUUGGCAUCCUGUUUUGCAAACAAAUACUUGAUAGUCGAGUGGUUAGUAAAAACAGUAGUUUUGGAUAAAACCAAGUAAGGGCGGAAUUUAUCAUAGGCAUACACCACAGCUAAUAAUUCCUUUUCAGUGGUGGUGUAAUUCUCUUGGGCUGGAUUUAGAGUCUUGCUAGCAUAGUAUAUGGGUCGAAAGUGCUUAUCAACCCUUUGACCAAGGACAGCUCCUAAUGCAAAGUCACUAGCAUCACACAUAAUCUCAAAUGGUAAGUUCCAAUUUGGUGCAAUAAUGAUCGGGGCAUUAGUUAAUUUUUCCUUUAAACAUUCAAAUGCCUCAAAACAUUCUUUAGUAAAAGUAAAUGGUGCAUCUUUUAGUAGUAAUUGUGUUAGAGGUCUAGUUAUUUUGGAAAAAUCUUUUAUGAAACGCCGGUAAAAACCCGCGUGUCCUAGAAAACUCCUAAUGCCCUUCACAUUAGUUGGUGGGGGUAAUUUUGCAAUGGUGUCAAUCUUUGCCCGAUCCACUUCAAUUCCUUUUUUGGAAACUUUGUGGCCCAAAACUAUACCCUCCUUGACCAUAAAGUGACAUUUCUCCCAAUUGAGGACCAAGUCGGUUUUUUCACACCUAGCAAGCAUUAAGUCAAGAUUUGUGAGACAAUCAUGGAAAGAAGAUCCAAAAACGGAAAAGUCGUCCAUAAAAACUUCCAUGAAUUUUUCCACCAUAUCGUGGAAUAUGGCUGUCAUACACCUUUGAAAAGUCGCGGGUGCAUUGCAUAGCCCAAAAGGCAUGCGUCUAUAAGCAAAAGUCCCACUUGGGCAAGUGAAUGUGGUCUUUUCUUGGUCCAUUGGGUCUAUGGGUAUUUGAAAAUAACCCGAGAAUCCAUCUAGAAAGCAAUAGUAGCUAUGGCCCGAUAGUCUUUCUAACAUUUGAUCAAUAAAAGGUAAGGGAAAAUGGUCUUUACGAGUGGCAUCGUUUAGCUUUCGAUAAUCGAUGCACACUCUCCAACCGGUUACCGUUCGUGUAGGAAUUAGCUCGUUCUUUUCGUUGGUUAUGACCGUCAUCCCUCCUUUCUUGGGCACCACUUGGACCAGACUCACCCACGGACUGUCGGAAAUUGAAUAGAUAAUUCCCGCAUCUAAGAGUUUGACCACUUCCUUCUUGACUACUUCUUGCAUGUUUGGGUUUAACCUUCUUUGGUGUUGUACAACCGGCUUUGCUCCUCUUCCAGAUUGAUCUUGUGGGAGUAAUAAGAUGGGCUUAUUCCCUUGAUGUCGGUGAUAUAGCUAAUUAUUUAGCUACAAAAUACAUCCCGAAAGAUAUAGCUAAUUAUUUAGCUACAAAAUACAUCCCGAAAGAUUUUAGCAGUCAACAAAAGAAGAAAUUCUUUUCCGAUUUAAAAUAUUACUUUUGGGAUGAGCCAUACCUCUUCCGGAGUUGUGCGGAUGGGAUCAUACGAAGAUGCGUAUUCGGGAAGGAAAGCCGGAAAAUAUUAGAGCAUUGUCAUAGCGGGCCCACGGGUGGACAUCAUGGAGCACACUACACGGCAAAGAAAAUCUUUGACAUUGGGUUUUAUUGGCCCACAAUUUUUAAAAAUGCAACCCAAUUUGUCAAAGAAUGUGAUGCGUGUGUAAAACCAACUAGUUUUAAUCCUACUAACUUAAACACAAAGACAAACACACAAAAGGCAAUGUACCUAUCGAUUAGCAGUUUAGUUAAGGUAAGUAGGGUAUCGAACACAGGGAACAGUAAACAAUUAAAAUAAAUGCUAAUAAAACAAGUAAUAGAAAAAGGGUUUUCUCUAGUUUUACAAGACUAGAAACUUAGGUGUGCUUAAGUUUCUAGUCUUGUAAAACUAGAGAAAACCCUUUUUCUAUUACUUGUUUUAUUAGCAUUUAUUUUAAUUGUUUACCAUUCCCUAUGUUCGAUACCCUACUUACCUUAACUAAACUGCUAAUCGAUAGGUAAACUGCCUUUUGUGUGUUUGUCUUUGUGUUUAAGUUAGUAGGAUUAAAACUAGUUGGUUUUAAUAUGGACUCGACAAGUCGCCACCUGACUCGACGAGUCGAUUCAUAUAUAUAAAGAUUACUCCACAGAAUAAUAUGAAAAAAUUCGGGGACGAUUCAGAAGAGUUUUGCUGCGAUUAAGAAGUUAGAAGACCCUAGAAGACGAAGUCAUAAGCUAGAAUUCAAUCCCGAAGGAGAAUUGAGGCAAAAUUUCAUCAUUCCACUUAAUCUUUUGUUUUGUCAUUAUGGUUAAACAAUUAGACUCUGUCUGUUUGCUGUUAUUUAUUUCAAUUAUGAGCUAAAAUCUUUAGACUUCUGUUUGGGGAUACAAAAUUGAUAAUACGGUUUGAUUGAUUGAUAGGAUUAAUUCUAAGUUGGUAAAUUUUUGUUAUUCUAGCUUGCUAAAGAACCUUGUGUGUGAAUAACAAUUUUUUUCUGUUAAUAGGAAGAUAAUUGAUUAGCAUGAACAUCUAUUGAUUAUUAACCUCAUAUGCUAUGUGAUCACUAUGACAUAUGUCUAGGAUUAAUGAACAUGAAACUAGAGUUAAUAAGAAAAUUGAGUAAAUUCAUGUGCAAGCUUGUGUGAUGACCAUCAACAAGAAGUUAAUUAAAAGAUUAAUUUAGUUAACUAUUGUAAGUCUAAAAUAAUCCGAAUAAUUAAUCUAGUAAAUCUAAUUAAAUUAGACAACUGGCCACUGUUUAAGUUAGUUUAUUUUGCUAAGGAUUAGUGUAGUGAAUGCGAAUCUAAUCACUUGAAUUAGUAACCAACUAGCUUAUGACUUCGUCUUCUAGGGUUUUCUGACUUCUUAAUCGCAAC
rnacentral:lncRNA from 1 species